UGGUCAUGCCAAGGAUGAAAAGCAGUGGAUGACUUCAGAUUUAUUCUUGACUGACUUUUUCUGACACCCAGAGGACUCAGGGCUGUUUGCCCUCAUCACCAGCAGUGUACCUGCCCAGCUUGGUGCCUGUCACACAGCCAUGGGCCAGGUCUGCAGCUCCACACUGGACUGUGAAGGUCCUUCCAUCAUCAUCUGGAAAUCCAGGAGAAUGUGGCGUGUAUGAAGACAUCCUGGACAGUCCUGUGAACCCAGCAAAACCCUGCCUGGUGUCACCAGCACAUCACUGCUGUGCCCAAACCUGGGCUGCUGAAGGCAUCUACUGGUACAGGAUGCAAUUGUCACUGCGGUUGGCAGCCAAUCAAAGCGCCGUGAGUGGGAGCCCGCUGGUACUUUCCAAUGGUCCUUGAUUAAAAAGGAAGCUCUUGGCUAUCUUCAAGCAGCAGGAGAGGAAGCAGCACGGAAAAGUUCCUUUCACCGCCACGAACUGGGAGAUGACAAAUGACUUUGUGAAGGGGUAAGAGGAAGAGCUUCUGCAGUGACAUUUAAAUUUGAACCCAUGCUUGAUGGC